GAAGGAGUAAGUUAAAUAUAAACUAUUUGGUUCAUACUCAAAAAAUAUAAGAUUUUUAUCUCCUUUA
rnacentral:tRNA from 1 species